UGCUAUACAUGCAGUCGACGCGUUGGCCCAACUGAUUGAACGUGCUUGCACGGACUUGACGUUGGUUUACCAGCGAGUGGCGGACGGGUGAGUAACACGUAGGUAACCUGCCCCAAAGCGGGGGAUAACAUUUGGAAACAGAUGCUAAUACCGCAUAACAAUUUGAAUCGCAUGAUUCAAAUUUAAAAGAUGGCUUCGGCUAUCACUUUGGGAUGGACCUGCGGCGCAUUAGCUUGUUGGUAGGGUAACGGCCUACCAAGGCUGUGAUGCGUAGCCGAGUUGAGAGACUGAUCGGCCACAAUGGAACUGAGACACGGUCCAUACUCCUACGGGAGGCAGCAGUAGGGAAUCUUCCACAAUGGGCGCAAGCCUGAUGGAGCAACACCCCGUGAGUGAAGAAGGGUUUCGGCUCGUAAAGCUCUGUUGUUAGAGAAGAACGUGCGUGAGAGCAACUGUUCACGCACUGACCGUAUCUAACCAGAAAGUCACGGCUAACUACGUGCCAGCAGCCGCGGUAAUACGUAGGUGGCAAGC
rnacentral:rRNA from 2 species